UUUACUUCCUCCUGCAGCACAGAGAAGGACAGGCUCCAUCCAGGUUCCUACAAUAUAGGAUCCGCUCAGUGGAUAUCUUCUAUAUAAGAUCGUUCUUCUGAUUGACCCGUCAAGGAUGGACAGGGACAAGAUGGCGGAGAGUAUAAUAAAUCUCACCCUAGAGAUCCUAUUCCGGCUUACUGGAGAGGACUACACAGUAGUGAAGAAGACCUCUAGUGAGCGCUGUCAGGCCCCUGUGUCUGAAGGA